AUUCACGCGUUGAACCAGCGUUCCGUUGCCGUUUUCCUGGACCGAUGGCUAGUAUUUAUAAAAGCCGGAGGUCGGGUUUCCUUUCCCCAUCUAUCCUCUGGAAGCAAGCUUCUGUCGACACCGUGGGAGCGGGUUAGAGUGCGGUGCGGGGGAGAGAGGCCCGCCGCAUCCUGGGCUCGCCGGUGCUGCCCUUCUACACCAGUGGGGUGGUUCUGGGGCUUCGCCAGCACGCGGGGAAGCUUUGCCUGGUUCGUGCGCAUCGGGGUUGUGGCCGGAGCCUGGGUAAUUUCUCGACGGAAUUUCGGCCUCCGUGGUGUGGCCACCGAGCACCGCAGAUUGGACACGUGAUCGCAUAACAGAAGGUAAAUAACCAAUUGAAUCACUUCCCCAUGUCCUUUCAAUCGUAUUUACGCAAAUUGGGGCGGAAACCAGGCAACGGGGGCACCAGUGCGUCGUGCUCCGGCGGGAUUCCGCCGUGCAGACUGGGCGGCGCCGCCGCGCUCUGGCGUCGGGCGGGGAAGACGCCUCGUCACCGUCAGAUCACUUGUGGGCGGUUGAGAUUAGAUCGACCCAUACCCCUUCACUCGAUUAAAUCUGUGCCGUCGGUUGCAGGCUUUGCGGUCGAGAUUGGGUUACGGCGUGGAUGCCUCACGACCAUCAGAUCUUAAUCUAGCGGCUGUCGUUGGAUACUGAGUUAGGUUUUAUAAAAAAAUCUAAUCGCAACCGUCAGAUAGAGAUCCAACGGUCCAAGUAGCCCGAUACCCCUUCGCCCUGGCCUAUUUGCUAAAGAGACCCCGUAAUCUUUACAAAUUAACCCGCCGUCCGAUUCGGAUACAAACUGAGUCUUAAGACAAUUAAUGAGUUAGACCUCGGGUUCUCUGUUAAUGUUUGUGCAGUCCAGAACCUAAAAGAAAUUCGAGUUUAAAUAAGGAAAAAUGGAAUUUUAGUAUAAAAAUAAAUCUUGAAACUUAUUUAAUUCAUAGAAAUUCCAUUUUUACUCCUUUUUAACCCAUUCCAGUUGCAAUAAUUUUGUAUUAAUAUUGUCUAUCAACUAAUAACAUUGUUUAACCAUGAAACUUGAAUUGAAAUUGUUCAUUAGGAUCAAUCUAUUCUAAGUACCAAAUAAUUUCGGAAAUUUAUAACUUAAUAACCGUAGCCCCGAAUUUAGUGGUUCUUGUUUCUACGAUCUCGUAGCUUCGCGUAGAUUAUUAAUGCGCAGUUUAUCCUUAUGUUUGGUGUGAUGUUAAUUUUGCCUAUACAUGUUUGUCUAUAUUGCUACGUUUAGCGGUGAGGACACGAGUCACCUGAAGAGCAAGUUGGUACCUGGAAUCUCAAGUCCCAGGCAAGUUGUGCCCUUGAUCACUUCUUUUACCCACUCAUGUUCUAAUUAAUCAUAAUGAUCUGCAUAGGUUAAUUUUGAUGGGACCUAAUAGGUUACCUAGUUUGUCUAUCUUUAUGCCUUGUUUACCACUGAACUUUUUGGGUAGUACUUGCUAGUGCUAUAUGUGGUUUUGGGCAUUGAGAUACACAUUAUUCAUGAUUAUACUUUUGUUAUCCGUUGUUAUUUACUGUUCAUGUCAAGAUCAUUAAUGUUAAUUGGAACAUAGAGCUUAACUUGAGAAACACGUGCCACCACAAGGGUUUAUGGACGCCCUUGGCUGAUUAAUUAGGAAAGCUAGUGGAGGACUACCUUACCCGAAAGGGGCAAGGGCAGUAGGGGAGUGGUCAGUGUAGGGAGGUCCUUGCUUGAUUUUGCUGCGAUGGCGGUCAGGCAAGAACCCUGCAUUGGAGCUUCCUAUAAACUAUAGCGGGUUUUCUGAAGCUAGUGGAACUUUGUAAAGGCCUCGUAGUGUUACCCUGCCUUGCCUCCUCGGUAGAGGUGUACGGGAAGUCGCGAUCCCUUGGCAGAUGGGUAACAUGGCUUGUGGGUAAAGGGUACAACCUCUGCAGAGUGUAAAACUGGUAUACUAGCCGAGCUCACGGUCAUGAGCAGCUCAGGACUCUCUGAUGAUUAAUUUAUGGAACUAAAUUCAAAUUGUCAUAUGCAUUGCAUCGCAGGUGAUGUUGUUACUUUUGUUCUACUGCUUAAUUGGGUUGGUAUUUACUGAUACUUAGUAAUUGCUAAUAAAAUUUUGACCAACUUUAAAAGCAAUGCUCAGCUCUAACCAUCCUCUUUGGUAAGCCUUACACUUCACAUGAACUCCCACCUUUGGCGAGUUCAUUCACAUUAUUCCCCACAACUUGUUGAGCGAUGAACGUAUGUGAGCUCACUCUUGCUGUCUCACACCCCCCCACAGGUCAAGAACAGGUACCCCAGGAUGAGGCGCUUGGAGGAUGCUGUGAUGUGUUCGUGAGAGGUCUAGGCCGUCGUCUCCCAGUCAACUUUGGGUUGCUGGACCGUUGUCUCCUUAUAAUGUAAUUAUUUAUUUAUUUUGUAUAGAACUCCUGUUAUAUAGUAAAGAUGUGACAUUCGAUCCGGUGCCAUGAUUCAUCAUAUGUGUGAGACUUGGUCCCAGCACA
rnacentral:lncRNA from 1 species